UACGUAGGGUGCAAGCGUUGUCCGGAAUUAUUGGGCGUAAAGAGCUCGUAGGCGGUCUGUCGCGUCGGAUGUGAAAACCCAGGGCUCAACCCUGGGCCUGCAUUCGAUACGGGCAGACUAGAGUUCGGUAGGGGAGACUGGAAUUCCUGGUGUAGCGGUGGAAUGCGCAGAUAUCAGGAGGAACACCGAUGGCGAAGGCAGGUCACUGGGCCGCAACUGACGCUGAGGAGCGAAAGCAUGGGGAGCGAACAGG
rnacentral:rRNA from 1 species